UAGGGAAUCUUCCACAAUGGACGCAAGUCUGAUGGAGCAACGCCGCGUGAGUGAAGAAGGUUUUCGGAUCGUAAAGCUCUGUUGUUGGUGAAGAAGGAUAGAGGCAGUAACUGGUCUUUAUUUGACGGUAAUCAACCAGAAAGUCACGGCUAACUACGUGCCAGCAGCCGCGGUAAUACGUAGGUGGCAAGCGGUGUCCGGAUUUAUUGGGCGUAAAGCGAGCGCAGGCGGAAUGAUAAGUCUGAUGUGAAAGCCCACGGCUCAACAGUGGAACUGCAGCGGAAACUGUCAUUCUUGAGUGCAGAAGAGGAGGGUGGAAUUCCAUGUGUAGCGGUGGAAUGCGUAGAUAUUUGGAAGAACACCAGUGGCGAAGGCGGCUCUCUGGUCUGCAACUGACGCUGAGGCUCGAAAGCAUGGGUAGCGAACAGG
rnacentral:rRNA from 1 species